AGAGUUUGAUCCUGGCUCAGAAUGAACGCUGGCGGCGUGCUUAACACAUGCAAGUCCUACGAGAAAGUCUUAGCUUGCUAAGGCGAGUAAAGUGGCGAACGGGUGAGUAACGCGUGGGUAAUCUGCCCUUGAAUUUGGAAUAACACCGCGAAAGCGGCGCUAAUACCGAAUAAUAUCUGUUUUAUUUUGGUAAGACAGAUCAAAGACGGCCUCUGAUUUAAGCUGUUGUUUGAGGAUGAGCCCGCGUACCAUUAGCUAGUUGGUAAGGUAAAAGCUUACCAAGGCGACGAUGGUUAGCUGGUCUGAGAGGAUGAUCAGCCACACUGGAACUGAGACACGGUCCAGACUUCUACGGAAGGCAGCAGUGAGGAAUUUUGCGCAAUGGGGGAAACCCUGACGCAGCAACGCCGCGUGAGUGAAGAAGGAUUUCGGUUCGUAAAGCUCUGUCAAGCGGGAAGAAAGUGUUUAUUGUUAAUAGCGAUAGGCAUUGACGGUACCGUUGAAGGAAGCACCGGCUAACUCCGUGCCAGCAGCCGCGGUAAUACGGAGGGUGCAAGCGUUAUUCGGAAUUAUUGGGCGUAAAGGGCGCGUAGGCGGUGGUAUAAGUCAGAUGUGAAAGCCCCGAGCUUAACUUGGGAAGUGCAUUUGAAACUAUACUGCUUGAGUAUGGGAGAGGGAAGUGGAAUUUCUGGUGUAGAGGUGAAAUUCGUAGAUAUCAGAAGGAACACCCGUGGCGAAGGCGACUUCCUGGACCAAUACUGACGCUGAGGCGCGAAGGCGUGGGGAGCGAACAGGAUUAGAUACCCUGGUAGUCCACGCAGUAAACGAUGAUCACUAGGUGUAGCGGGGAAUUAAUCCUGCUGUGCCGGAGCUAACGUAUUAAGUGAUCCGCCUGGGGAGUACGGACGCAAGUUUAAAACUCAAAGGAAUUGACGGGGGCCCGCACAAGCGGUGGAGCAUGUGGUUCAAUUCGACAACGCGAAGAACCUUACCUGGAUUUGACAUCUCGGGAAUUUUUAUGAAAAUAGAAAGUGCCUUUUUGAGGAGCCCGAAGACAGGUGCUGCACGGCUGUCGUCAGCUCGUGUCGUGAGAUGUUCGGUUAAGUCCGGCAACGAGCGCAACCCCUAUCUUUAGUUGCCAUCAUUUGGUUGGGAACUCUAGAGAUACUGCCCCGGUAAACGGGGAGGAAGGUGGGGAUGACGUCAAGUCCUCAUGGCCUUUAUAUCCAGGGCUACACACGUGCUACAAUGGACAGUACAAAGAGUAGCGAGCCUGCGAGGGUAAGCUAAUCUCAAAAAGCUGUUCUCAGUUCGAAUUGGAGUCUGCAACUCGACUCCAUGAAGUUGGAAUCGCUAGUAAUCGCGGAUCAGCAUGCCGCGGUGAAUACGUUCCCGGGCCUUGUACACACCGCCCGUCACACCAUGAGAGUUGGUUGUACCAGAAGUCGUCGGGCUAACUUUAUUUCGAUAAAGGGGCAGGCGCCUAAGGUAUGGCUGAUGAUUGGGGUGAAGUCGUAACAAGGU
rnacentral:rRNA from 1 species